GCGAGUGAAGCGGCAACAGCUCAAAUUUGAAAUCUGGCCCCCAGGGUCCGAGUUGUAAUUUGCAGAGGAUGAUUUUGGCGAGGUGCCUUCCGAGUUCCCUGGAACGGGACGCCACAGAGGGUGAGAGCCCCGUCUGGUUGGACGCCGAGCCUAUGUAAAUCUCCUUCGACGAGUCGAGUAGUUUGGGAAUGCUGCUCUAAAUGGGAGGUAUAUGUCUUCUAAAGCUAAAUAUUGGCCAGAGACCGAUAGCGCACAAGUAGAGUGAUCGAAAGAUGAAAAGCACUUUGAAAAGAGGGUUAAAUAGUACGUGAAAUUGUUGAAAGGGAAGCGCUCAUGACCAGACUUGGGCCCGGUGAAUCAUCCAGCGUUCUCGCUGGUGCACUUUGCCGGGCACAGGCCAGCAUCAGUUUGCCCUGGGGGAUAAAGGCUUUGGGAAUGUGGCUCCUCCGGGAGUGUUAUAGCCCAUUGCAUAAUAUCCUGGGGCGGACUGAGGUUCGCGCAUC
rnacentral:rRNA from 1 species